rnacentral:miRNA from 1 species
UUGUAGAAACAAGCGAUGUCA